rnacentral:rRNA from 1 species
UAGUNNUNNGGGAUUAAUUUUCNNNUGGUUNACGCAGCUAACGNNGNAAGUAGACNGCNUGGGGAGUACGGUCGCAAGAUUAAAACUCAAAGGAAUUGACGGGGNNCCGCACAAGCGGUGGAUGAUGUGGAUUNAUUCGAUGCAACGCGAAAAACCUUACCUACGCUUGACAUGUCUGGAAUCCUGUAGAGAUGCGGGAGUGCUCGAAAGAGAGCCAGAACACAGGUGCUGCAUGGCUGUCGUCAGCUCGUGUCGUGAGAUGAUGGGUUAAGUCCCGCAACGAGCGCAACCCUUAUCAUUAGUUGCUACGAAAGGGCACUCUAAUGAGACUGCCGGUGACAAACCGGAGGAAGGUGGGGAUGACGUCAAGUCCUCAUGGCCCUUAUGCGUAGGGCUUCACACGUCAUACAAUGGUCGGUACAGAGGGUCGCCAACCCGCGAGGGGGAGCCAAUCCCUUAAAACCGAUCGUAGUCCGGAUUGCAGUCUGCAACUCGACUGCAUGAAGUCGGAAUCGCUAGUAAUCGCGGAUUAGAAUGUCGCGGUGAAUACGUUCCCGGGUCUUGUACACACCGCCCGUCACACCAUGGGAGUGGGUUUUACCAGAAGUANGUAGCUUAACCAGCAAGGAGGGGCGCUUNNCCNCGG